GAGAUACAGGUCUAUGUAACUGUAAGAUACAGGGCUCGAGAAAGGGAGAAAGGGAUGGAAAAUGAAUUCACCUGAUCUUGGAAGCUAAGCAGGGGCUGGCCUGGUUGGAAGGUGGAUGGAGUAGAGGAGGCAAGGAACUGGGUAGGAUGAGGCCCAGCUCUGCUCCAUGGGAGUCAGGGCGAUAGAGAGAAAACUGAGUGACGACCCAAAAGACAUUUGCAUAUCUAGCAGUGUCCAUGGCUCAGCUGCAAUCUAGGAAGUACCCAGGUCCUAAGUACACACGGAAUGGAGGAGCAUUGGUCUGGUAGGAGUUGUGGCAAGGUCUGUGGGAAUCGCAACCCCUUCCCCUUGCUGUCUCGCCAGCAGCGCUGGAUUAAUCUCUGAGAACAGGCGCUCUUGGUUCCCAGAGGCACAACAGGCUUUUGAUUUCUAUGAGCUAAGACUCCUCUGCAGGAACGUGGGUUUGUGCCUUACUGUCAUUGCUUCUUACAAGGAUCACAUAAUUCAAAGAUCCCAGGAACCUCCUUGUGGGCAAAUAAGAGAGACAAGGUAAAGCGGUGGGGUGUACAAGGGAGUGACGCUGGAUAUAGCUAUUCCUGAAACCGCUUACACUUGACACUAAGUUAAUAGAGU